AGCAGCCGCGGUAAUUCCAGCUCCAAUAGCGUAUAUUAAAGUUGUUGCAGUUAAAAAGCUCGUAGUUGAAUUUCGGGAUCAAUAUGUCGGUCGUGCUUCGGUACGUACUGGCGUUAUUGGUUUCUCCCUUCUGAAGAACCACGAUGUCAUUAAUUUGGUGUCGUGGGGAAUCAGGACUGUUACUUUGAAAAAAUUAGAGUGUUUAAAGCAGGCUCGCGCUUGAAUACAUUAGCAUGGAAUAAUGAAAUAGGACGUUUGAUUCUAUUUUGUUGGUUUCUAGGAUCGACGUAAUGAUUAAUAGGGAUAGUUGGGGGCAUUAGUAUUCAAUUGUCAGAGGUGAAAUUCUUGGAUUUAUUGAAGACUAACUACUGCGAAAGCAUUUGCCAAGGAUGUUUUCAUUAAUCAAGAACGAAAGUUAGGGGAUCGAAGACGAUCAGAUACCGUCGUAGUCUUAACCAUAAACUAUGCCGACUAGGGAUCGGAUGAUGUUAAUUUUUUAAUGACUCAUUCGGCGCCUUACG
rnacentral:rRNA from 1 species